GCCAGCAUGGCGUAAUGGUUUAAGCAUUGGACUGAGAAUCUGGAGACCAGGGUUUAAAUCCUUGCUUGGCC